GAGGGGAUAGUGCAUUUAGCCUCCCGAUGAAGCAGGAACCCGCCGAGAUGAUUCAGACUUCGGUCUGAACGUGGUAGGAAUCCUUGCCCUUUAGGGCGGGGAGGAUGUCAAAUUAUAUACAAAU
rnacentral:misc_RNA from 1 species